UUACGGCCAUAUCAUGUUGAAUCACCUGUUCCCGUACGAUGAUCGAAGUUAAGAAACAACGAGCCUGGUUAGUAGCUGGAUUAGUGACCGUUUAGGAAUUCCAGGUGCUGUAAG